AGCAACGUAUUUACUAACAAAGUUUACGUCGCAAAGUGUUUAGUAUUAAUUAUAUAAGAAAGAGUAACGAUCGAUGCAAUAAAAUAUGGCUGCUGCCGUUUGUUGUCGCGACUAAUCGCCGGCUCUCGCGAGGCAAUGGUUAGUUGGUAGCAGCUACUCUUCAUUACAGUUUAUCUUCCAGCUACUGUGAUAUUAGAUUAAUGAAAUAAAAAACGAGUAACAAGUUACAGCCAUUUCCAAGGUGGGCUGUGCUAUUCGUGGCAAAGCAUAUGUCGUUGCUUUCGCUAACAAGCCUCACUAAGUGCAAGCUCCAAGACGCUGAAAUAGAAGUAGAGAAAUCGAUUUAAGUGCAGAAAUUGACUUAAGCAUUAAUUAAGUCGGAGAGCCUUCUAAAAUGUUAUUUUGCUUUAAAUUUCAUAACGUUUUCGUGACCCAUCUGGACUAAGCUAAUAAAAUAUGAAAUGUCAUUUGAAUGCUAGUAGACAUUAGUUCUUAGUAUAACAAUCAGGCUUACUCAAACACUGGUUAUACUACAUAUAAUACUCUUGCUUGUGACAGCUUAUCCUGUAAACUCUUCUAGCAUAUUAACAUGGAUUUAAACGGCUACGCGAAAUUCUAUUUAUAUUGCGCUGAAAUAACUAAACCAAAUACAUUAAAAUAAGUAAACUCUCAUUAUUAUCGAGAAUUAAUAAUUCGUCAACUUCCUGGUUAGAAUAUAUGGACUAAAUGCUUAGCGUUGCAUUGGAAAAAAAAUCGUGAAUUCAAGGACUAAAAUCUAAAAUCCGCUGCAAGACACUCUAGAAGAACACCUCAGGUCUUGGAUAUAUUACAAAAUUACUUUGUGGUAGUGUUGCAGGACAUCAUCACAGGGUACCUACUCGAAAGACCGCACAUUCACAAAAUUGGAAAAUUGGAUUCGACGGAAUGCAGACCAAACGCGGACGCUAGAAUAUUAUAUGUACGAAUGCCCAGCCCUCAGCCGGAUGAGGUAGGAUACAUUUCAAAGCUUCCAGUGGUUCAACUUAAGAUACAUUGUGCAGCUGGAAUGGAAAAAAAUUAGGUAUCUUACCAAUUCUACUAUAUCUAAGGUUAUUUCUACCAUAGUUAACAAAAAUAGGAAGGCAUUAAGCUCACUGGUGGGCCAACUCAAUUUGUGCGUAAUUUGGUUUGCAGUCCCGCAACAUUUUCGGCAAUGAAAGAGCAGCGCUAAGACUGGGAGCUCAAUACAUAAUUUGAACAAAUAUCUCAGUAAAUGUGGGAACCUAUACAUAUAUAUGACAUGCCUUUAAAAUGAGAAUAAACUAUAAUUUUUUACAAGUGAUGGUCGCCUGCCCACCUUAGUGGUACCCCGGAAAUUAAAGACCAUUCUAAAGAAAGAAGUCUGUUGAACACUGCUGAAAGUUUCGAUAAUAUAAGAUAUAACACAUUCUGUUACUAUUUAACACCCAGUGACCAACCCAAUCAUAUCGAGCUACUAAAUUUUUGGUGCCAACGAUUUUCAUGUUUUGUAUGGGUACGUAUAUUAGCCUCUUUCUUUUGCAGUUGCCUAAUUGUACAACUUAUUGUCAACGUUUACCACUUAAUUCAAUUGCGUGCCGCCUUUUUUCUAUAUGUCGCGUGACUCGACUAGUUACUUUCUGACACCACAUGAAUUGACGUGCUGAUUUACACGAAAUACUUAUAGGCUUCAUAUUGGCUGGGGAAUUAAGUUGUGAUUCGCAGAUGAAAAUAACAGCUACUUAAUUAAUUUAUUAGAAAUUUAGACUGUAGUCGAACAUAUGCUUUUCACAUUAUUGAAAGUUGAAAAAAAAAUAGUUUCUGGUCACUCCCAAAGGAAUGACGCUCAGAGAACUUUCUUUCUAAAGAAUUAUUUUAGAUGCACGUGCUAAGUUGACGUUGAUAUCAACGAAGGUUAAAGAAAUAUCAAAGCUUAAAAACAAAAAAUUUCUAACAGCUUAU